ACAGGUAUAAUCGAGUAAUAAUUUAAGUCCACUUCACUUACAUUGUAAACUGUUAAUAAAAGGCAAUUUGACAAUGCAUACAUAUAGUGCGAUGAUCAAACUAAAAAUUUGUUACAAAUUAAUAUCUAUUUGAUGCGUUUAACAAAUUCUUGCAUAAUAACCGUCCACCAUGACCGCUCCACCACCAUCCUGAGGCUCGACAUGAGUCAACUUUAAUCGUGCCAAAUAUACAUUGUUUGGAUCCUCAUGCACAUUAAGCAACAUUCUUAAUUUUUUUUCUACCUAUAAACCACUAUUCUUCUUCGUCUUCGUUCUCCUGCUCCUCUUCACUUACUAUCUCUACAUUCCCUGUCCAAGCCAACCGCAACCAUCAAUGGCCCAUCCGGCUCAAAAUCCCCAAACCUUCUACACCCAGACUACAAAUUUUAAGGGACUUUUUGCCAAUAUUUUCUCCUUUCAAGUCUGCAAACAACAAUAUUAAUGUAAAGUAAUUAGUGUAAAGUGGUUUAUGCCCACUCAUGGCCAGUACAACCACAAACUCUGCCGUCUCGCCUACAUGAUGUGUGUCUACUCCCACAAUUUUCCCCCUUACUCUAGCGAGGCCUCCAUUACUUCCGAAUAUUUUGUUCGGAUUAUUUGCCAUCAAGGAUAAAUUAGCAUAUGUGAUAAAAGUCCCUAUGAUUUGACACUAUAGAGGUAGAGCAACAUGAAAAAUAAAAGAUCAUGCUUAUAAUCUUUGGACUUUUGUAGUUUAAAAAAAUGGCGAUAAUCUUACAACAUUUUUCAAACUCCCGUCCUAAUUGAAAAUGAUUGAUGCAUUAAGGAACACCUAUGGAAUCCAAAAAAAAAACUAAUAGCAAGCGACAGUGACAUGGAUGGCUACCUUAUUGCUUUGGAAGUGGAUGGCAUGAGCCGUCCCCCAUAUGCACGAAACAGUCCUAGCCAUGCACAGUUAGCCAAGAAACAUUGGGUCAAAACAAGGGUGUUGGUACCUUGAGCAACGACGCCAUCACGUUGAUAAAUGCCCAACCCAAUUGCUCGUCGCCAUCCUCGGCCACCACCUGGACACACUCCUCUAGACCCAGGCGUUUCGAACGACAUCCUCCCUGCUUCCCCUGGGCGAUGGCCGACUACCGUAACUUCUCUGGAGCGAAUCCUUCCAAAGCGCUGCCGACAACAUCGUCCCUGUGGCGCUGCUCCUUCCUUUUCGUGCCUUUUGCUUCAUUCACCUCCUUCCUAUGAAGUUUUAGUUACAAGGUACAUUUCAGUAAUCAGUAAAAAAUGCAGAUAUUAGUACAAGAAAAAUGUGCCACUUGACAAAGUUUUAGUAGAAAUCAGAUUUUCGUACAACAAGAUAUUUUAGUACGUACUAAAAAGAAUAGUACAAGGGCAAUAAUCCAAACAAUAUCAUCAGAAGUAUGAAACUGAACCUUUAGUCGCAGCAGGUGACUACCCUUGUCAUCUCAAGAUUCAAGCCUCUCCUCUUAUCUUGUUCUCCGAGCAUGCACUAAAAACUGCAAAAAAUACAGAACAUGUACAUGUGUGAACUGAAAUAGUGGAACUCAAACAAACCUUCAUCGAUAGAUCUUUCUUGAACUAUAUGGUCGAUUAUGUACAUGGUCCUCAUAAUGAAAACUAAAAUAUUGAGUUAGCCUUUCCCAUAUCUUUUUUGAAGAAAAUCAUAAGCAUCAGCACCUACUAUGUGGAAGACAAAUCUCCCAGCUUGUUUAUGAUUCAGAACUCAACUGCAUUCAGGCCAAUACGAAUAGCAUCUCAAGGAUCUAGGUAAAUACCUGGAACAAAACUCAAUGAAGAACCAUAACAUCAGUCAAAACUAAACAUGGAAAUUUUGAACUCACUGACUUUAUGUCAGUCCAGUAGAACGCCCGUGCAUUGCUACGGGCUACAAUGCAUAUAAAUAAAUCAAAAAAAUAAUUAAAUUCUAAAGUGGAAGCUCAUUUCUCCCUCCUACUUUCGAGUGUGAACGUACAUCAAACGGACAUCUAACAGGAUCCCCAAAAUUCAACCGUCUGGAGAAUAGGGUAUCUUCAAAUCCAUGCAUAUCCAUAUGUGAGGAAGAAAUAUGGUUAUCCAGACUAUCUGCCAUGUUAUCUCUAACAUGCGCGGACCGAACAAAUUAAAAAAAACACCCACGACGCACCCUUCUCCUUCCCUGCCGAACCCUCACCUCCCCGCUCAUUUCCCGCCAUAGCGGGACAUUUUUCACUGGAGCCCUCUCCAUUGAAACCAGAUAACGCCCAUCUCACCUUUGUCAUGUCGCACUCUCUUCUUCACAUUGUAUUUCCCCACGGACCGCCGAGGAGUCCCCCGCCAACCGCCCCGCUCUCCAUUUUGUUCCCCUCCCCAUGUGUUUCUGUCGAUAGGGGGGAGUUGUGCGCCACCUAUGACACCCUCCGAGCCAAGAAGGUAGAUCUGAUGUCUCCUUAGCCAUUUUCAGAUUGUAACAUAUAGUUCCCCUCCCCAUGUGUUUUUGUGGAACCAACGUCGGGGGUCAGCUGAGCGCCACCCUGGCGCUGGUUUUGGCAAUGCUCCAUGUGCCCAGAGAUUCCGCAUGAUCCACCGAUGCAGUGAAGGCAGGAUAUUCCUGUUAGUACUGUAUAUAUGUCAUUAGGGCCUCUUGUACUGCCUUCAAGAUUAAAAAAAUAGAUCUAUACAAGAAAAGCAGAUCCUUCAAAAUUGCAAUAUCAACAAAUAUUACACCUAUGCAUUACUAAGGUCUAAGGAGUAUUAAAAUAUGAGAUUUACAGGAAACAAAUUGGAAAACUAUUGAGAUAUUUCAAAAGAGAAAACAUAUAUACAAGGGAAUAUAUUGCUUCAAUUCUCACAUUUUCAGGCCUGUCACCUCCAUCGUAAUUAUAUGCGUCUUUAUCCCUCUAGGACUACAGGAGAAAAAUGCAUAUGCACACGUUAGUGGGUACCAUGUUAACAAAAGAAAGUUCUUUCGAUUAACAAUAGCAGUACCAUAAAUGUUGUUCCACUUCUCUACAGCGCAAUGGUUGCCUGGCACUGAAAAGUCUAUCUCAUUCUU
rnacentral:lncRNA from 1 species